rnacentral:misc_RNA from 1 species
GAUGAAGAACGCAGCGAAAUGCGAUAAGUAAUGCGAAUUGCAGAAUUUCCGUGAGUCAUCGAAUCUUUGAACGCACAUUGCGCCCAUUGGCAUUCCGAUGGGCAUGCCUGUUCGAGCGUCAUUAUCCUCCCUCAAACCCCUGGGUUUGGUGUUGGGCUGUGUGGUGCCUGGCACCACUGGUCUCAAAGACAAUGACGGCGUCCGUGGGACCCUCGGUGCAACGAGCUUUUCGAAGCACGCGUCGAGUGGACAGUCUCUCCGGGCCGGUCACCUCUCCAAUUUUUCUCAGGUUGACCUCGGAUCAGGUAGGAAUACCCGCUGAACUUAAGCAUAUCAAUAAGCGGAGGA